GCAGGUGUAGCUCAAUGGUAGAGCGCACGCUUCCCAAGCCUGAAACGCGGGUCCGAUUCCCGUCACCUGCUCCA
rnacentral:tRNA from 1 species